rnacentral:rRNA from 1 species
UACGUAGGGUGCAAGCGUUAAUCGGAAUUACUGGGCGUAAAGCGUGCGCAGGCGGCUUUGCAAGACAGAUGUGAAAUCCCCGGGCUCAACCUGGGAACCGCAUUUGUGACUGCAGGGCUAGAGUACGGUAGAGGGGGAUGGAAUUCCGCGUGUAGCAGUGAAAUGCGUAGAGAUGUGGAGGAAUACCGAUGGCGAAGGCAGCCUCCUGGGCCAACACUGACGCUCAUGCACGAAAGCGUGGGGAGCAAACAGG